rnacentral:lncRNA from 1 species
UUUUUUUUUAAGGCUGAAUAUCAUUCCCUUGUGUAUAUAUGCCACGUUUUCUUUAUCCAUUCAUCCAUUGAUGAACACUUAGGUUAGUAAAAUAAGCCAGGCACAGAAAGACAAAUAUUGUUUCUGAUAUAGCAAUAUAUCAACAACAACCUUUAAGUUAAUAAUUAUAGAUCUAGAUCAUAAAUUUUUAUGGUCACAAAGCAUUCCAUUAUAUACAUGUUCAUUAUUGUUGGUUGCUUUAAUAGACA